AACGAACGCUGGCGGCGUGCCUUACACAUGCAAGUCGAGCGCGAAUGGGAGCAAUCCCUAGUAGAGCGGCGCACGGGUGCGUAACACGUGGGUAAUCUGCCUGGAAGACCGGGACAACCUGCCGAAAGGCUGGCUAAUACCGGAUAAGCUCACAGGGUCUUCGGACCUCGGGAGAAAAGGUGGCCUCUGUACACCAGCUAUCACUUCCAGAUGAGCCCGCGGCCCAUCAGCUAGUUGGCGGGGUAACGGCCCACCAAGGCUACGACGGGUAGCUGGUCUGAAAGGACGAUCAGCCACACUGGAACUGAGACACGGUCCAGACUCCUACGGGAGGCAGCAGAGGGGAAUUUUGCACAAUGGGCGAAAGCCUGAUGCAGCAACGCCGCGUGUGUGAUGAAGGUCUUCGGAUUGUAAAGCACUUUCGACCGGGACGAACACCCCUUGGCUAACAUCCAGGGGCCUGACGGUACCGGGAGAAGAAGCACCGGCUAACUCUGUGCCAGCAGCCGCAGUAACAC
rnacentral:rRNA from 1 species